AAGAUCCUUAAAUAAAAUAACAUUAAUAUCUUCGAAGAUCCUCUAAGAUCUUGGCUAGAAAGAUCAAGAUCCUCAAAGAUGCUCAAAGAUCCUGACAAGAAAGAUGAAUAUCGUUUGAGAUCCUUGCAGAUGCCGACAAGCAUACAGAGUUGUAUUAAACUCUUUUGAGGAUCUUGGCAAGAAUUUUCAAAGAUCUUGUUAAGGUCUUAUCAAUAGGAUCCUCAACAAUUUUAAUGAAUAUCUUUGAAGAUCCUUAAAGAUCUUCAAAAGAUUUUCACCAGGGAUUAGCACAGAGGAAAAGUGUCUGAUGUCUUACUUGCAGCACUAAAAACCUCCACCACUCUUCCUAGGAAUGCAUUCAACCAUCUCUUCAUGAGGUCGUUCAAGUGUUAGUCACAUGUGGAUGUAUGUUUUUGUAACCAUCUUUUGUAGAUGAGGUUACUGCAACAGCUUCACUGAGUGCGCAGUCCAGUGCAAGUCUAGCUGACGCAUCUGUGGUGCAUGUGGAUUCAGUUGCUCUGGAACCAAAGACUGACCCAGAAAGUGUUAAGGAGCAUUACAGCAAUCUGCUAGGAGAUAGUGUGGAUAUUUUGGUUGCAGAUAUAUCAAAAUUCCAAUCAGGUGGAGGGUUGGGGAUCAGUUUAGAAGGAACACAAAAUCCACAGGGUAAGGAAAGAUAAAUUGUAACUUGUGUUCAUUUAAACUUCUGCUCAUUGUAACAUCACUUUGACAUUUUAUUUGACACAUGGAAAAAAUUGUGUGACCAACAAAUAGGAUUUUGAUUCAAAGGCAAUCAAAAGGGCUAUGUUAUUUGUUUCAUAUACAUGUACAUGUACAAUGUAAUUACAUGUAAUAACUCUUACUACAGUCUACAGGUAGUUCUAGUUAGUCUUAUGUGAUCAUCAGGGUGAGGGUUUCCUACAGUAUGUGGAAGUAGCUAGGGAUACGUGCACUCCAGUUUUUAUCUGUGUCACUGACCAAAGAAAUGGAAAAGUGUUCUGUACUAAAUAGAGAAAGAUUUCUUAAUGGUCAGGUUUUGGCACCACUGUUGAUAACAUUGCAAUACUUAUCAGUGUAUUACAAAUAAAUUUUAUGUGGUAAAUAUAGGUAU